rnacentral:rRNA from 1 species
UACGGUAGGGGGCAAGCGUUGUUCGGAAUUACUGGGCGUAAAGGGCGCGUAGGCGGGAUGGCAAGUCGGUCGUGAAAUCCUUCGGCUCAACCGAAGAACGUCGAUCGAUACUGCUGUUCUUGAGGGUUGCAGAGGAGACUGGAAUUCCCGGUGUAGCGGUGAAAUGUGUAGAGAUCGGGAGGAACACCGGUGGCGAAGGCGGGUCUCUGGGCAAUUCCUGACGCUGAGGCGCGAAGGCUAGGGGAGCAAACGGG